GAUAACUUAUGUUUAUUUCAAACUUGGUCACAUGCUGUAUAUGUAAAUUUUUACCAAAAAGAACAGUUCAACUGUAUUGAUUUAAGGUAUAUGGUAAAGGUCACACCUAUUAAAUAUACAUGUAUACCUUGAAUUUGCAUUGGACCCUAUAAUGCUCCCUAUAUCAUUUAUAUUGUCAAUUAUUGCAUUCCAAAUUGCCAUUGUACACAAAACAAAAACCACUAAAAAGGAUGGCCAUCAUAUGCAAAAGCAAUAUAAAAUGCAUACCCAUCAGCUGAC
rnacentral:lncRNA from 1 species